CCGUUCAUAUCCCAAACGGAAAAAACAAUUCCUCCAGCAACCACAGGAAUGUUUUAUUGCAACAGGGCUAUAUGGCCUCUGAUGGUCAUGCCCUGAAUCUGGGGCUUAGCAUCCAAAUCUGGGUAAUGGUAGGGAGGGCCCACCAUCCCAGGCAGGAAGGAAGGGGUCGUGGUUCCGGUCUGAUGGGGAAAGCAGACCGCUCAGCCGUCCAACACGGAAGCUGCAUUCGGAUGCAGCUGCAGAAUUCUCUUUGAGAGCCGGUUCUCAGUAAAGCACUGAGGAGACCCCAGAGGGAGACACUGGGGAGCCAUGCAAGUGACAUUUCAUUUUCUAUGGCGAGUGACGAAUGUCAUCAGAUGAGAUGCAACUUCACCAGAAUGGUAACGCGAACGAUGGGAACAACAUGGACAAUCAUGAUGGCCGGCCUUCAUUGCUUACUCAGUUCAGCCACCACGCUGCAGGAGAGAAGCCCGAGCUACGUAGGAGCAGAUGAACACGUACAGGUCCAUGCGUGCUGAUGACGGGGUCCAUAAUGUACCUGUCUCACCAAGUGCUCCUUUCCAGCCAGUUUUCUGCAGAUGGAGUAAGCCUUGGAAAUUCAGGCACUCCCAGCCUAGAAGGCUAGGCUAUCAUAAAGCCCGAGUCUCCAUUCCUUUAUUCGGAGCCUCGAUUCCUGAAUUUAACAGAAGAGAUGAGGAGACAGAGACACAGAGAGGUUGACCGACUUACCCAAGGUCACAGCAGUAAGUGAAGGGGAGACCAGAGAUAAGAAACUGAGGAAGAGAGGGAAGAAAGAUUAAUGAAGGAACCACAAAGGAGUCAUUGUCUCAGUCUUCCAUGUGAAGAUUUUAUAAGGAAAGCCAGUGGGCUCCCAGACAAAGUUAAAAAGCUGGAAGUGCCCCCCAUGGACUUCUGGGUCUCGUGCAUCCCCGGCAGUCCCACCCCCGCCGCCUGCGAAGUCAGAGACCACAGCCUGCCCCUGCUCCGGAAUCCCUGGGAAGCUCAUCAAAUAAGAGGCAAAUCCUCAGCCCUGUCCCCAGAGAUACUGAGUCGGUAGGUCUGGGAUCGCUUUGAUGCUUAUAUUACAACAGGCUCCUGGGGAAACUGGGGUGCCAUGGGGUGCCCUGAGGACUACACUCUGAGAAGUGUUGUAUUGCCAGGGCACUACAAGGCCUAAAUGUGGCUGUACAUGGAUUGCACCUGGCUGGUGUUCAGUCCGUUCUAAUAUCCUCUCCCUUCAUUGAGUGGGAAGUCCUUGCUGGUGGGAUGUCUGCUGGAUUUUAUGUCAAGACGUUUGGGCUUAUACUUCAGAACGGCCAAAAAACAGCUGUGAGAGAUGAGGCCACUUGCUGACGUUUGGGGGUGUCACUUUUUUCCUCACCUGUAUGUCGAGAUUUGAAGGGAACUUUUCAAGAGUAUAGCAUGAGAUAUUAUAUGAGAAAAAUGCUUUGUAAACCAUAUGCUAUCUUUUAAAUGUUAAUUUUUUUUAAUUUAUGGGUUCAUUUUCCUUUCAGAUGAGCUUUCAAAUCCAUAUACUUGAUACUAAAUAAGAAAUUAUUUAAAAAAAAUAAAGAAUUGUUUAUAAGGUGAAAUGGAAUUAGGUCAGCCCAGGGGACCACAUGUAUUCCACAAAGGCAGUGCUGAAAGGGGACAUGGGUAUCAGGGACCCACCUGAUCCCUUAGGUGUGCAGGUGCUAAGGACAGAGCAGUGUGACUUGCCCAUGUCCCUAGAGUAGGCUAACUGAGGUCUGGCUUGUGACAUUGACCAGCGCUCCUUCCCCAGCCCCUACUGAAGGCCCCAGUCUGGUCCCCUCCCCUACUCUCCACACUCCACUGUCCACCCACACAUCGCUCUUGUCCUGUCCUGCACUGCGCAGGGCGGGGUCAAGGAGCAUGUCACUCCUUUCCCGUUGCCACCUGCACAUUUCUCAUUAGGAUGAGAAAAAUCCACAUUUCCAGAACUCUGACCCUGGCUACUGUCUGUGACUUGCAAAGAGCUGGUGAUGGGAAAGGCGACACAUUCUGAGUCAGGCAGACUUAAGCUCACUGUGUAAGCUUCUGUCCUUGAUGCAUCUUACAGCCUCCGGCCCUCACCUUCAUCCUCGCCUAGGAGAUGGUGCUAAAGAUAAGUUCCUGUCUUCAUCAGUGUGAUCAAUAAGUGGGAGUAAGGAGUGGAAGAAGCAGGCAUUAAUUAAGCACCGACUGUGUGCCCAGGCCUUUGGCCAUGUGAUUCCACACGACCUUCGUCCAGGCCAGUGCCGUUGGGUUGUUAUUGUCCUCAUCCCCCUUGAGCCAAGUGUCACGGAUACAGGAAUGUGUGACCUUUGGAUUCACUAGCACCUAGGACAUGGCAAAGGUAUAGUCCUGCUUUCUCCCUUUGGAAGGGAAUACGUCUACCAGAAGUGGGACUAUCAGUCGUCUGCCAAAGGUCGUGUGGCCUGGAAAUGGAGCAGCAGGAACUGAAGCACGGCUGCCUGGUUCAGAAGCCCGACCUCUUUCCUGCUCAUCCACGUGGGUGAGCCAGUCCUUAAUUCAAAGGAAAUGUCAAGCACUCAACUAUCUGCUUUGUGGCAGUUGUAGAGAAGAUGGGAAGGAGGGACGGAGCAGCCAUCUGAGACUGCCGCCAGGGCUGGAAAUGAGCUUGGGGAGGACUGGACAUUUGGAAGAUCCACGUAUCCCAUUAAGGCAGCCGUAGAUGUGGGUGGAGCUGCUGGAACCUAAAAGGCCUCUGACAAGUAGAGGAAGGCAGAAAGGCAGCAGGGCUUCGGCCGGGACCCAGGGACUGGCAAAGCAUCCCGUACACAGCAGAUGCUUGACAAAUGCCUCUUGCACAAAUGAGCACAUGAAAGAACGAAUGAACAAAUAAGCUGGAUCUGGUAUUCAGAAAUGUUUUCAUCUAGCCAGGCUGAAACUCUGUGCCCACUCAGAAACUUCCAGCGCUUCCUGCCUCCAGCCCCCGGCAACCCCGUCCAGCCUCUGUCUGUGAAUCGGACUCCUCUAGGUAGCUCCCAGAAGUGGAACCAGAAAACUGUGAGGGGAUACAGUCUUGGAGUCUUGUGGAUAACAGCACUGAAAUGGCAUCAGUCUGGAGCAGUGCUCUGCAACAGAACCUUCUCAGGGGGAAGAUAACUGCGGUCACACUCUUCCUAGUUCGUCUGAUAGAAUGCACCUCCUUCAUCGUGGUACUACAUAACCAAGCUCAGAACAAGAAAGAGUAGAACCUGUUGGAUGCAUGAAUUAUUCUGGCUCCUAAUAUUGCUAAUAGGUAAGCACCUAUAGACUGCUCUUCACCCUUUGUCUUAUCUCCUAUAAAGCAUCAUUUAUAUAUUACAUAUAUAUUAUUGCAUAUACAGAAUGCAAGAGGAUGAAUGUGAGGUUAACAAGUCUUUUUCUCAAAGGUUACAGUAUCCUAUUAGAGGAAUACUGUCACUUGAGGGUUGUGGCUAAGGAAGAGCUUGUAUUUGGACCAAAAUCUCCUAGAAGGUUCUGAUAUGUCAGGGGCUGUGUGGGGCACAGUGGAAAUUUUUAGAGCAGGCAAAGCCAGGGAAGUAUAUGUGAAAUUCAUGAGGAGGAGGCAUGUGAGGUACUUAGGUAUUUAGGUCAAGAACACCUGAAGCUUUUGCACUCAGCAGCUGCUGAUCUUGAAGAUGGUUAGUCACCCACUGUGGAAGUGGGAUUUCAGAGUUUCUGGGUUAAUGAUGACUUUAUUGAUAGUCCAGUGCUGGGUAUUAUUGAUCUGGCUUUGGGUCUCACUCAUCUAACCUACCAUAUGAUCUAUAAUCAGGGAUUGUUGGACUGGAGAGUUUCUGUCAAUAGUAAGAGCUGAGGUCACAUGGCUCCAUUGUUUAUAACGCACUCCCAAGAGGGAGAGGCAGUCACAGGUAGGGUGAACAGGAAUGUGGAGGAACUCAGAUAAUGGCAUAUUGGCAAGGAGUGGAGGACAUGAGAUAAUUAGGAGGAGAGAUGCUGAUGGGGAAGAAAAUCAUUAUUUUUCAGAUUCAAAGAACUAUUUUUCAUAUUCUUAUAGAGCUAAUUAUUCAAUGAUAAUUAAAAUGUUCAGCUUGAUACAAGAUUUAAUGGGAGAAGGGGAUUAAAUGGAGAUUUUGAUUUGAGGACAAGGAGCCAUUUUUUCGCCAUAAUCUCCGUGUGGGGCAUUAUGCCAACCAUAUCAUCCAGUGUCAGCAACCGUUUGUUGACAUGAAGUAAACAAAGUGACCAUUAGGCAAGGGACUUUUUAGGAGUCAGAAUUGUCUGAAAAUUAGAGCUUACAACCAACCCAGGAAGCACGUAUUUAUGUCACUAGGUAUUUAUUAUCAGUGAACAUAAAAAACCUAUUUCCUAAUCCGGGGAACUUUGGAUCCAGAUUUGGAGAGUCCCGUGAGUAGUAACUCAAGGCAACAACCAAAGCCCCAUGACUCGGCAGAACAUGAUUGUGUUGAAAGAAAAGAAGGAAGUAAGUUCUGCUAAGGGUUAGGAGAGGGAGGAUUUCCUGGAAAAGCUGGGUAGAAAGCAGGGUUUCUUUGAUAAGAAUUAAACCGACAGAAUCAAGGAAGAGGACUUCCCAAAAAAUCAAUGUGGAUAAAACCAUGAGUACCCAAGAACGUGGAGAGCAAACUAGGUGUUUUGUUUAUAUAAACAAAAGUGAGUUAUAAAGAUACUAGACAUCUUUAAAUGCUAGGCUAAGGAUGUACAGGCUCCAAAUCAACGUGAUGGGGAGCCUUUGAAGGUUGAACAGGGCAAUGCCUUACAAAUAGCUUUUGGGAAAAAUAGCCUGGAAGCCUGGAGGAACAUGGACUGAUUGCAUGGUACAGAGUUAGAAGGCAGAGAAACUACACAGAGAUGUCUUAUUCUGAGUUUGCUAUUUUUUCUGCUGGGGAAAAAAAAAAACCCAUCAGCUUCCAAUGAACUUCUUUUUAUUAUGACACAAAAGCCAUAAAAGUAGUGAUGUAUAUAAAAGCAGUGCAGGAUGUUUUUAGUGGCUUUAUGAAAUAAAAACAGCAGUAGAUAGUUAAAAUUGGAAUGCCCUGCAUCAGGUUAUAACCAUCUGAGUUUGGAAACUUGAAACAGCAAUGCAAUCAUAUUUUUAUAGCUCUAGCGUGGUCUUUUCACUCAGAUAACUGAACUAUGGGUGGGUGAGAAGGGAAAACCCAGCAAAUCAAUGCUGUUAAAUAGCAGAGGCGGAGAUUUUUUUGAAUUCCAAUGACCACAUCAGUUACCUUUAUUGAUAGUAUACACACUUCUGAUUUGGGGAAACAAUGAUUAUUUUAUCAAACUGGUAAGAUUGAUACUGGGGAGAUCAAGUUCCCUAACAAAAUAAUAUAAUUGGUAGAAAGCUAUCAUACCAGGCACUUUGAUAUCUGUGCCUUCAUUGUGCACCUAUCACAAUUCCAAGAAGCAUGGUUUUCACAAAUUGCUCAGGCCUUUUAAAGAAGAACCCUUCUUGUUCAUUAGCAAAGGUAACUGUCUAGAGUCUUUUGUAGGCUAGGGAUGGAAGUAGACCUCUCUAGAGAUUAUACAAUCAACUAAAGAGUGGCUUGCUCAAACGAAUGAUUAUCUUGGUGCAACAUGUUCUUAUGGCAGCAAAAAUGUGGUAUUAAUGGAUAUUACAUUGUAUGAUCAAUUACCAUAAAGAUUUUCUUUGAUUCUGCCCCCUAUUCCACCCCAGCUUGGGGUUAGUAAAAUAGUAUGUUAACUUUAAAAAUAAAUAUAUAUCAUUUUAAGGAAUAAAGGAUAAAUGAGGUAUUUAAGACACUUCCACAAUUAAUUUGUAUUAUCCUCACGGGCCAAGGCAGAAUCUGAGGCCUGGAGUGGUCAUGUCAUUGUACAUAAGACGCAGCGCACAUAUUGAAAACUAGGUCAGGAUAACGGUUACACCUAUACUUGAACAGCCUCAUUAAACCCCUGCUGUUUAAGUUCUUCUCUUUGCACAUAUAUACAAGGAAGGUUUUGACUCAGUAGCGUUCAGUUCUGUGGAGGAGAAACAUAUUGAUAUCUCUUCAUAGGUUGUGUUAAUAGAGAAAAUAGUGUAUUUCACAUCAAUCACUAUUUUGGAAUACCUUCAGGAGCCUCUAGAAAAUAAAGAGAAAAAUAUGAGAACAGAAGGUUGAGAUUGAGAGUAUAGGAUCCAUGGUCAACCAGGGUUUUCCUCUUCCCUCUUGGCUUUACUGUUUGAAUAAUUGCAUCUACUUGUAAGAGGAUUGUGAGGAUAGAAUGACAUGAGGCAUGGUUGCUGCUCAGCUCUGUGCUUGGUGCCUACCAGUUCAAAGUAUGGUAGAUGAAAUAGUAGUAACAAUAAUAUAAUAUGUAUUGAAUACUUACUAUGUUCCAGGCAUUGUCCUGAGUGACUUAUGCACAUUAGCUCAUUCAGUCCUCACAACAACCCCUUGAGAUGGGUAUUAUCAUCUCUCAUGUAAAGAUAAAGUAGUGGACGCAUGGAGAGGGUCUCACAGCCAUUAAGUGGUAGAUCCAGUAGUGGGACUCCAUCACCUAUAAUCUUGACUACUAUGCUAUGGGGCACCUCUGUAAUUAUAGAGGACCACUACUAGAGUAUGCAGUGGGAGAGGAAGUGCCCAGUUCAACACUGAGUCCAAAUCUGUAUGCCAUCGGAAGCCAAGCCAGGGAAUCCUUUGGGGUAUACAGGAGGGGCCACAUGCCAUUGAAACAUGGUUCAUGAAAGACACAGGGUUUAAGAUGGGUAUAGCCGGACUGACAGGAAAACAUUCAGGUAACAGGACUAUAAAAAGCAGUUUGAUCUCUCUUAUGCAGGACUACUCAGCAACUAUCUGUACCAUCUCUAUCAUUAGGUUGUGGCCAACGUGAAUGUCCAUGAACUAUACAUCAUGAUGACCGGGUAGGUUUCAGAGAGACUGGCAUCAGUUUCGGCUCUGCCCCUCCUGAGCUGUGGCUUUCACUUCUCUAUCACAGUUUGUCGGUCAGCAAAUGGGGUUAUCACACCUCACAGCAGUGCCUUGAUUCUAAAUGAGAUGCCAUAAAUAACAUUGUGGCCAUUGUGGUGACUGCCUGUAGUAUGGUUUCAGUGAGUAUUGGCUCACAGGAAAGGUCUUUGCCUUGGGUUCUGACACCUGAGUUUACCCAGCCAAGAUUGUCCAUGAUGCCUGCCACUAUCAACCAUGAUUUGGAAUUCUUGGCCUGCAUAGCUUUGAAACAUCUAAACCCAUGUUAAGUUCAUGUAGAAACAUCCUAAAUUACCUCUAGAGAUUUCCCUUUUUCUCUGUUUUGCUAAAAUUCUUUCAAUUUCUGUUAUGAAAGAAUGUGUUCAUUAUUUCUGAAGGGCACAUUUCCAUGUGAACAACCUUUAGUUGCCUUUGGAAAGGCUCUAACAUACCACUUCUCACCUGUGCAUGUGACAUGAGCCUCCUAAGGAGGGUUACUAGAUAAAAAGACCUUAAAUGCCUAUGUAACUGGGCUUCUUGCAUUUUAAGUAUAAAUAACAUUUUGGAUAUACUUAUACUAAAAUAUUUUGGUUAUCCCUCUAAAAUUUGUUGUUUAUCUGGAAUGCACGUUUAACUGGGUAUCCUAUUUUUCAUUUGCUAUGUCUGAUAACACUACUCUUAAGGUUCAGGGAGCUCAGUGGUGGUGAAAUAACAGUUUUGGAAUCAGAUCUGGGGAUUCAAAUCCUCAUUCAGUCACUUAUUGGCUAUAUAACCUUUCACUUAUAAUCUUUUCCCUCUGAAGUAAAAAGUCCUUAUACUAACAAGGGUAAUUAUAGAUGAAGACACUCAGUCACUGAAAAGGUAGAAUGAAAUAACAUCAGCCAAUAUGAUUAGUACACCUCCCGGAGAAUAACAGAAGUACCCCAUCUGUUAACUUUCUGUGCCGUUCAAGCACUUUAUACACAGUGCUACCUCUGAAACUGUACAGACUCAUUAUUACUAUUUUUUCUCCAAGGCCAUCCAAUGGGCAGGUGGUAAAUUUGAGAUCAUAGCUCAAGUGUCCAAAAUUCCACUCCAGGACUUUCUCUGAUGUCCCACUCUUUCUGGAAGCCUCUCUCACAUGAAUAAUUGUUGUCCCCAGUCAACAGGAGAAAGAUUCAAAAUGAAAUUUAUGCCCAAUGUUUGCAAUUUGGUCCAUUGCCAUGGCUUACUUUAACAUAAGGUGCUUAAGAGCAGGAUUCAUCAGGGAAGCAUUUUCAUCUUUUACGAUUCUAGAGAUGAAAAUUUGAUUUUAGGCAAAGGAAUGAAGGGUAUAGUGGUACCAGGAUCAGUCUCACCCAGCACUUGUGAUGUACAACAGCACCAGUCAUUGUUUGUGAACCAUGGACACUUUGUUAUUAAAUAAAUGAAUUCAAGGUACAUGAUAUGCCCUUUUACAAAGGAGUGUAUUGAGGCUUGGUGGAGUUAUAUAAUCUUUCUCCCAAUCACAUAGUUUGUAAGUGGCAGAGCUGGGCUUCAAACCCAAACCUGACUCACACCAAAAGCCAUUUUUUAACACUGCCCAAGGCAACUUCUGCUUUUCUCCCCUCAGUUUUUCUGAACAAUGAUAUAGAAACAAAACAUCUGGUUCAUGAACCAAGAACAUGACUCUCCUGUCUCCCUCCUUCCCCUCACCCCCAAACCCUGAAAGGGGAGAAAGAGAUAGGGUCUUCUGUAAUUUCACCAGUUCCCUGAGGGACAGUAGCCAGGAAUGCUUCAUGGCUGGGCAUACAAUGCUUCAAGUGCUCAGAAUUUCAUUUCCUCAGCCAAAAAAGACAUCCACUGCCACCAUAGCCCCAGUAUAGCUGGUCCCUUGUUCUAAGCCUGAGAAAUUCCCUUAGGAUCUUACUUUGCAGGGAGAAGGGCCAUGCCACACCCUGGAGAUACUAAUGAUGGAGAGCAGCAGAUCUGAGAAUUGACAGUCUCAUUUAUUACCAUGGUGUGGUCUGGAGAGAGAAAGCUGGAAAGGUAAAUCAUCAGUCAUCAGCAUGACCAGCUAAUGGCUACCUGUUGUUACAUGACCUAACCCACAGAGCACAGCGUGUUCUGAUACAGUCACAGCAAUAGAAGAGCAGUUCUCAAAUAGUCUGAGAAUUAAGAUUCUGGAUCUACCAGUUAAGUGCAACUAUAUGAUUACUGCCAUUGUUAUUAUCGCUGUGAACACUUAUCCAUUAAACAGCAAGUUCCAGGCACUCAAGAACUGCUUAAACAUAAAAUCUAGCCCUGUCCCUCCUCCCCCUCCAAAUUUGGCAAGACAUACAGACUCUCAGACAUUAUGAGAAGUUCUGAGAGAGAACACAGGGCACACAGAAGAGAAGACAUCUGAGUCUUAAAGAAUAAGAAACAAUGUUUUAGGUGGAGAUACUGGAGAACAUGUUCUUCAGAAAGAGAAUAUGUGCAGAGUGAUGCAAUCAAGAUGGGAACAUAGGAUGUUCCCAACUUUAGUCCCCCUCAUUAGACAACUAUCCAUGGGCAAGACCCCAGUAUUAAAAUCUUGAAACAUUCCCCUGCACCACAGAGACCGUGACAGACAACAUGAGACAAAUAAGAGGCUACACUGACACCAUUCCCCUUCCCCCAAAGCUGGUGAAGCACUCCACAGAGAGGGCCCUGCUACAGCAUCUUGAGUGGCAUGAGAGAGCCCAAGGUGGACAUCCAGCACCGCUACCAUUGUGGGUUGCUUCUCAGGAAGCCCACUGGGUCUCACUUUGCAGGACUUGAACACUGGGGACCAGAGAGCAAUGGAAAAGGAGAGUGGGGCUUACAGUAAUCAUGGUCAGACCUUGGCAUACCAAGUCCCUACUGCAGUGACACCCAACUAUAAAGCCCAGCCUAAGAUAUUGCUCAUCUACAGAGCCAACAGUGACCCAGUCAGACCAGAGAACUCAGCUAGGCGCGGGUCUGCCAGAUUCAGGACUCCAAAUAACAACUCAUACUGGCCUUGAAACCAGUUUUGCCAUUCUGCCUGAAAAAUUGAUAGCCUUAUCUACUUCUGAGUAUAGAUCCCUUCCCUGCCUGACCAGGAAACUUCUCCCCAUAUGCAGAGCCAACCCAGUGGCCCCAUCUCACCAACAAGUUUGCUGCAUAGUUAUGUCUGAUUUGGUCCCCCAAGAGCCCUGCCAGUCCAUGGGCCUAUUCUGAGGCCCAAUCUGGGCAGCGAACUAACUUAUACCUUUCCUACUGUUGAAUAAUCCCUCCAGCCUUCCUGACCAGGAAGCCUAAUCAGAGUUCCAGGGAAUCCAUGAAACCCAUCCAGCAACUCUGAUUAUAGUGGCACCUGAAUACAGAGUUCAACUGUCAGGCUACUUCCCUGCCUCUGCAGAUAGGCAGGGCUGUCAUGUCGGAGAGCUUGGUGCAUAUUUCUCCCUAAUUUGGUUCCCAAUUAAGAGCGGUUGCUCGUACAACAUGGGCACACUAAUUUGAAGCCCCAACAUUGCAGAAUACAGCAUUCAGCCUGCCCAACCAGUAAACCUACCAGAGCAUACGGGAAGCUGCAUAGCUCAUCCUCAGCUCUCUAUACAGUAGCACUUGAACAGAGAACAUAGCCAGUGGUUGCCCCUGGCUGCAGAGCAAAACCAGCGGCCCAUUAUGACUAGGCAAUUAGGUGCACAGUCCUGCCUGACACAAGCUGUGCUAACCUUAGUGCCAAUUCUGUUGCCCUGUCCAAGCAGCAAAGCUAAUCCAUAGCUCUGCUCCUCCUGAAUAUAAUUCCCAAUCCUGCCUAUCUAGAAAGCCUGACAGGAGAAUCUAGGCAACUGUGGAAUCCGUGCGGUAGCUGCACUAGGACAGGGAAUGAAGCCAACAGUCCUAUUCAAAUGUCCUUAGCUAGUAGCACCCCCACCUCAGCCUCAGAGCUUGAGCAGUGCCUUGUCCAAAAAGAAUCUCAUAGAAACCCCACUACUUAAGGAUGCUGCCAGCUGACAUGUCCAGAACCCCAACCUGAGGUGAUUAAUGAAGGACUAGCUCUGCCACAGCAAACCUAUGAACUUUGAAGGUAAGAACACUUCCUCAGAUGAGCAGAUACCAAUGUAGGCAAUCAAGGAUCAUGGACAGUCAGGUUAGCAUGACACCACCAAAGGAAAUUAAUAAAGCUACUGUAACUCAUUUUUUAAAAAAUGAAACUGUUAGACAAAUAAUUCAGAAUAAUCCUCUUAAAGAAUUUUAAGGUCUAAGAAAACACAGACAACCAAAAUAAAUUAGGAAAACAAUGCAUGAACAAGAAGCUCAACAAAGACAAACCAUUAGAAAAAAACAAACAUAAGUCCUAGAGCUG